rnacentral:rRNA from 1 species
GCAGUCGAACGGUGAAGCCCAGCUUGCUGGGUGGAUCAGUGGCGAACGGGUGAGUAACACGUGAGCAACCUGCCCCUGACUCUGGGAUAAGCGCUGGAAACGGCGUCUAAUACUGGAUAUGUGACGUGACCGCAUGGUCUGCGUUUGGAAAGAUUUUUCGGUUGGGGAUGGGCUCGCGGCCUAUCAGCUUGUUGGUGAGGUAAUGGCUCACCAAGGCGUCGACGGGUAGCCGGCCUGAGAGGGUGACCGGCCACACUGGGACUGAGACACGGCCCAGACUCCUACGGGAGGCAGCAGUGGGGAAUAUUGCACAAUGGGCGCAAGCCUGAUGCAGCAACGCCGCGUGAGGGAUGACGGCCUUCGGGUUGUAAACCUCUUUUAGCAGGGAAGAAGCGAAAGUGACGGUACCUGCAGAAAAAGCGCCGGCUAACUACGUGCCAGCAGCCGCGGUAAUACGUAGGGCGCAAGCGUUAUCCGGAAUUAUUGGGCGUAAAGAGCUCGUAGGCGGUUUGUCGCGUCUGCUGUGAAAUCCCGAGGCUCAACCUCGGNCCUGCAGUGGGUACGGGCAGACUAGAGUGCGGUAGGGGAGAUUGGAAUUCCUGGUGUAGCGGUGGAAUGCGCAGAUAUCAGGAGGAACACCGAUGGCGAAGGCAGAUCUCUGGGCCGUAACUGACGCUGAGGAGCGAAAGGGUGGGGAGCAAACAGGCUUAGAUACCCUGGUAGUCCACCCCGUAAACGUUGGGAACUAGUUGUGGGGUCCAUUCCACGGAUUCCGUGACGCAGCUAACGCAUUAAGUUCCCCGCCUGGGGAGUACGGCCGCAAGGCUAAAACUCAAAGGAAUUGACGGGGACCCGCACAAGCGGCGGAGCAUGCGGAUUAAUUCGAUGCAACGCGAAGAACCUUACCAAGGCUUGACAUAUACGAGAACGGGCCAGAAAUGGUCAACUCUUUGGACACUCGUAAACAGGUGGUGCAUGGUUGUCGUCAGCUCGUGUCGUGAGAUGUUGGGUUAAGUCCCGCAACGAGCGCAACCCUCGUUCUAUGUUGCCAGCACGUAAUGGUGGGAACUCAUGGGAUACUGCCGGGGUCAACUCGGAGGAAGGUGGGGAUGACGUCAAAUCAUCAUGCCCCUUAUGUCUUGGGCUUCACGCAUGCUACAAUGGCCGGUACAAAGGGCUGCAAUACCGCGAGGUGGAGCGAAUCCCAAAAAGCCGGUCCCAGUUCGGAUUGAGGUCUGCAACUCGACCUCAUGAAGUCGGAGUCGCUAGUAAUCGCAGAUCAGCAACGCUGCGGUGAAUACGUUCCCGGGUCUUGUACACACCGCCCGUCAAGUCAUGAAAGUCGGUAAC